rnacentral:rRNA from 1 species
GACGAACGCUGGCGGCGUGCCUAAUACAUGCAAGUCGAGCGGAUCUUCAUUAGCUUGCUUUUGAAGACCAGCGGUGGACGGGUGAGUAACACGUGGGCAACCUGCCUGUAAGACUGGGAUAACUUCGGGAAACCGGAGCUAAAACCGGAUAAUCCUUUCCCUCACAUGAGGGAAAGCUGAAAGACGGUUUCGGCUGUCACUUACAGAUGGGCCCGCGGCGCAUUCGCUAGUUGGUGAGGUAAGGGCUCACCAAGGCGACGAUGCGUAGCCGACCUGAGAGGGUGAUCGGCCACACUGGGACUGAGACACGGCCCAGACUCCUACGGGAGGCAGCAGUAGGGAAUCUUCCGCAAUGGACGAAAGUCUGACGGAGCAACGCCGCGUGAGCGAUGAAGGCCUUCGGGUCGUAAAGCUCUGUUGACAGGGAAGAACAAGUAUCGGAGUAACUGCCGGUACCUUGACGGUACCUGACCAGAAAGCCACGGCUAACUACGUGCCAGCAGCCGCCGUAA